rnacentral:tRNA from 1 species
GCCCUUGUGGCGCAGUGGCUAGCGCAUCCCACUUCUAUUUAUGUAAUGGGAAGAUCCAGAGUUCGACCCUCUGCAAGGGUU